ensembl:lncRNA
CGUGACUCUGUUCCCUACUUCUUUUUUUUUUCUUGCUGUUGUUCUUGUUCUUGCACUUUUAGAUGUCAGCCAUUACUCUCUCUCUCUCUCUCUCUCUCUCUGUCUGUGUUCCUGAAAGUACCAAUCCAGCAGUGGUUUUGUCUUGCUGGUGCACUGGUGCAAAGGCAAGCUUUAAUGCCUCACUGAAAAUUAAGCCAGUUGUUUGUUUGUUUGUUUGUUUGUUGUUUGUUUGUUUAAUGCAAAUGCAUGUAUCAGCCCCCACCACAUUGACUGGACUGGGCAUGAGUAGCCAUUCGGUGAAGAGCCUGAUGGCUAGCAAGCCACACUUUUUGGCCUGAAAGACGCAUACCCUCCAUGGGAGUAUGAGUCUGCAACCUGCCCAGUUUUUUUUUAAUAUAUUUAUUUUGAAACCUCAAAGGCCAGAAAUUCCAUUUCCAGCAAGGCUGUGUGUUCGUACGUUUUUUUUUCUUUUCUUUUCUUUUCUCUCCCUUCAAACAUUAUACUGCCCCCUAAUUUUCCAAGCCUCAUGGAUGGGAUCAUGCUUGAUGUGCAUUAUUCAUCUACCCUGGCUACACUGUCUUUAACCUGCAGAAUCUGUAUUGUCCUGUGUCACUGUGUAUAAACGUUAUGUGCUUUUUCUGUGUAGAGGAUUGAAAUGUACUCAUCCAAACGUCGCACUCUGUACCUGGCUCCUCAUUAAGUAAACAACAUGGCUCGGGGCUAGACAAUGUACGCCUCUAGUGGUUCUGCAAGAGUACAAUAGCAGAGGAGCAGUUCGGCAAGGUAUCCUUUUCAAACCGAACGCUCAAUGUGUGCAUGCCUAACUGCUAUGGUUGUCAGGGCCUGUCUCUACACAAUGCGAUGUCAGGCCAAGCCUUUGAAGUCUACAAAAGACGGCCUCAGCAUUCUGGCUAAGGUUUGGCUGAGGUUUUUUUUUUGUUGUUGUUCUGAGGGGCGGGGGGUAGUGCUGGUUGCUAUUUUGACACUUUAGCUGGUGGCACAUUAUAUACAGUUCCAGACUAAUGUCACAGAUGGCAUCAUGGAGUUC